GACGAACGCUGGCGGCGUGCCUAAUACAUGCAAGUCGAACGCACAGUUUAUACCGUAGCUUGCUACACCAUAAACUGUGAGUUGCGAACGGGUGAGUAACGCGUAGGUAACCUGCCUGGUAGCGGGGGAUAACUAUUGGAAACGAUAGCUAAUACCGCAUAAUAUUGAUUAUUGCAUGGUAAUUGAUUGAAAGAUGCUAUUGCAUCACUACCAGAUGGACCUGCGUUGUAUUAGCUAGUAGGUGAGGUAACGGCUCACCUAGGCGGCGAUACAUAGCCGACCUGAGAGGGUGAUCGGCCACACUGGGACGGAGACACGGCCCAGACUCCUACGGGAGGCAGCAGUAGGGAAUCGUCGGCAAGGGACGAAAGUCUGACCGAGCAACGCCGCGUGAGUGAAGAAGGUUUUCGGAUCGUAAAGCUCGGUUGUAAGAGAAGAACGGGUGUGAGAGUGGAAAGUUCACACUGUGACGGUAUCUGACCAGAAAGGAACGGCUAACUACGUG
rnacentral:rRNA from 1 species